rnacentral:rRNA from 1 species
UACGGAAGGCAGCAGGGGGAAUAUUGCACAAUGGGCGCAAGCCUGAUGCAGCCAUGCCGCGUGUAUGAAGAAGGCCUUCGGGUUGUAAAGUACUUUCAGUCGUGAGGAAGGUGUUAAGGUUAAUAACCUUAGCAAUUGACGUUAGCGACAGAAGAAGCACCGGCUAACUCCGUGCCAGCAGCCGCGGUAAUACGGAGGGUGCGAGCGUUAAUCGGAAUUACUGGGCGUAAAGGGCACGCAGGCGGUUAAUUAAGUUGGAUGUGAAAUCCCCGGGCUUAACCUGGGAAUGGCAUUCAAGACUGGUUAGCUAGAGUCUUGUAGAGGGGGUAGAAUUCCAUGUGUAGCGGUGAAAUGCGUAGAGAUGUGGAGGAAUACCGGUGGCGAAGGCGGCCCCUGGACAAAGACUGACGCUCAUGUGCGAAAGCGUGGGGAGCGAAACAGGGAUUAGAUACC